UACCUAGGGCGCAAGCGUUAUCCGGAAUUAUUGGGCGUAAAGAGCUCGUAGGCGGUUUGUCGCGUCUGCCGUGAAAGUCCGGGGCUCAACUCCGGAUCUGCGGUGGGUACGGGCAGACUAGAGUGCAGUAGGGGAGACUGGAAUUCCUGGUGUAGCGGUGAAAUGCGCAGAUAUCAGGAGGAACACCGAUGGCGAAGACAGGGCUCUGGGCUGUAACUGACGCUGAGGAGCGAAAGCAUGGGGAGCGAACAGG
rnacentral:rRNA from 1 species